UCAUAAUAUGUUCAAAGAUCAAAUAGAAGUGUAGUUUUGCUAGCUAGCUAAAAGGCCACAUGAUUUACAGGCUUUGUAAUUAACUCAUUUUUACUGCGUGGUGGCUGGUUAUGAAUUUGACAUAGCAGUUAAAGACUUUUUGAUUACACAUAGACAACAUAAAACUGCACGAAGGUUCAUACUGGUGUGGAGUAAUGUGCUGACAUAUACUUUUUAUUUUUUAUCAAUUUAUAUUUCGGUAAGAUAAUGUAUUCAGCUAUUUUAAUUUGUCGUUGGGCAGAGCUAAGAGCUAAGGGUGUGCCCUAAUACAAUCGUUUAUAGAAGAGCCCCUGUUUAAAAUUUGCAGAAAUAACAAUAAGCAAAGGUUACUUUAUAAUUUAGGCGCGAGAUUUUAAAAAUUUCGUUUACAAAAUUGAAUUUGAAAAAAAUGCAGCAACCUACAGAUCGACAACGGAUGAUUUCAAUAAAAACUACUCAAAUGUCUCUCCUUUUCUCUUUAGAACUGCUUGGUUAGGGUUAAUAAAAUGUCACGUGAGGAUUUAAAUGCCCUAAGCAGAGUUAAAUUAGUUGGAAAGAAUCUAGAAAAGAGGGCAGAAGCGGUUAUAGGCGUUGUUAUGUUACGUGUGUAUUUCUGUAUUUGUAUAUUUGUAUAUUGUGUAUUUCUGUAUUAGGUAUUUCUUAUUUUUUUUUUACCUUAAGUAAAAAAAACAGGCAUAAUAAAACCAGAUCCUUUAUCAUCAGAUUUAUUAUCAGAUCCAGUCAAGAAUAAUAAACUUCCAGCAGAAAGCAAAUUUUCAACUAUUUUUUAGUUAUAUUAUGGUGGUAAAAAGUGUCACGUUUGAACACUUAAACUGAAUAUAUCUCAGUAUGCGUUUUACAACAUGCAAGUUUUAAUUUUGAUGAAAUUUACCUUUUAUCUAAACCUUUUUUAGUUUUAUCGCAAAAGGAAGAAAAUUUUGACAAACAGGCAUAUCAAAAUACUUUAGGAAUUGCCUGUUUCAUCAAAGUUUUGGGUAUUUUCAAGAUCAAUAACGUUAAAUGUCCGUCUUCCUACUUGUACAAUCACAGGGAAGAUACCAUCAGUUCCCUUGUUCAAUUAGUAGAUUACACCCCUUUCGAUAACACUCGUUUCUAAAUGGACAUAUGAAUUCACUAUACAAUAUUCUAAUCAGGAUACAUGAAAAAUAUUGUUGUUGUACAUAAUGCAUCUGAACUCAUUAAAGUAACACAGUUUUUUUGGGUAGUUAAUGUUGCAAAAAUAUUUUAACACAUUACAAGUAACACAAGAUAUAUAUGACAACAACGUAGGUAUCAGGCACAAAAUUUAGAAAUCAAGAAAAAAAUAAAAACAAUAGCAAGAGCAUCAUCAUGGUGAUCUUGAAAAAAAAGAAAAGAAAGGAAAUGAUCGUGUUAAUUUUGAAAAGAAGGAAAUUAAAAACUUAAAAGGAAUUCACCUAAUCAAGAUCAUCAAGAUUGCGGGUAUUUCCAACACUUUUACAUGUCCUUCUUCGUGUGCAUAAAAGACAUUUUUUAAUUUACUAUCAACAAAAAAAAUUUUUUUGCUCAAGAAAGUCAUAUCGACGAAAGGAUACCUUGCUCAAGAAAAUCAUCUAAGCGAAACAAUAUUUUGAUCAAGAAAAUCAUCUAAGCGAAACAAUAUUUUGAUCAAGAAAAGCAUCGCAACAGAACCGCGUGGCCUCGCACUUUUCAUAUUUGUGACUUGUUGUUUCCUACUGCACUGAAACGACCAUGGGUGGAUGUUUAUCUACAGGCUCUGGCAGAGGUGGGGGUAAGGUUUUCGUUUCAGUUUCAUAAUGACUCUAUUGUUUGAUCCAAGAAAAUCAAUAACGAGGUUGUUAAAUUUUUCAUCGACUAAAAUUAUUAUUUCAUUGUAGGGUAUGGAGGUGGAGGUGGCGGUGGAGGCGGAGGCGGAGGUGGAGGUGGUUGUGGUGGUGGUGGUGGUGGUGGGUGUGGAGGAGGCGGCUUUUAUGCGCGAUUAUUUGACGGUGGAUGCGAAAGACGUGGCUGGAGAAUUCUUUGACGAUUAUAAAAAUUUUUGUAAAUAAUCUUGUAUGAAGUGAUAACGUUUUGCAAUUUUUUUGUAAAUUCGAGAAUAAAGUGUGCUCUUGUAAAGAGCGUAUUUAAAAAUAUUUGAAAAACAGUGGCACUUACUGGAAUGUAGAAAAUUAAUUAUUGAUACACAUGUUGAUUUACAUUAUCUAUAUUAUAAUACCCGUAUACGUCUGUCCGUCCGUCCGCCUGCCUGUCACGCAAAAUGGUACAUUAGCUGCGCAGGUGGCGAGACGCACGCAAUGCGGUAUAAAAAGGACUGGCGACCCGUGGAUUUUUUCACGGGCUAACGACUAAUGUGCAUAAAAUUUUCAUGCAACUAAGAAACAUAACUUUCUGCAUUCAUUACAUAAACAUUAUAACUACGAAACCUUCGUUGGUCGUUUGAAAAUUUUAUUAUUCUCUUUUUCUGUGUAACCAAACCACGUUUCAUAAUAGUAGCUCGAUAACAUUAGAUGUGCCAUUUAUUUUUUGCAUGGCUUACAAUAAAAGAAAUGUCACAAAAGAAAUGUCUUUCUUUUUUGAUAUGUUUUUUGGUUAUAAAGCUACGUUUUGUCAUCCGCUACCACGCCGCCAUUUUUAAUACUUGUGCCUUGAUUAUCUGCCUUUCAUGGUCACAUUUGCUUAAAUUAAAAAGCCAACUUGCAUUUUAUCUACAACAUCUUGCGUUCAGCCACUAAUCGCAAGUAAGAAAUGAUAAACAACAAAAUUUUGCUAAAACCAAACACUCAUUUGGCCACUUACAAACAUUCCCAAGCAUUAGUGUUAAAAAAAGAUUUUUAUCUUCGUAAUGUUUCGUUUUUAUGUUCCCCAAAAACUUUUUUGUUAAUGGGGCUACGGAAUGGUUCUUGGUUUUCGACUUCACAGACUUACACGAAAGUUGAGCUAAUAGGGUUGGAUAAGUUUAUAAUCACUGGGGACAAAAACAACAACUUAAAUCAUCUUAACUAUCAUAUUGAGCCACCAAGUAUAACUGAAAAUGACAAAAAAAUUCCCUACUUAUAUUGGAUGUCCAUACGAUAUAAGUACUUACAAUGUUCAAAUUUUCUAAUAAAAUAAACUUCAAACCUUUUGAACUAGUUAGCUAGCCAUAUACUUUUAAAUUUUUCAUAGAAAACAAAAACAUAUAAGUUUAUUGUAUAUAAAGCCAGUCUAAGCAAAAAAAAAUGACCUUAAAAUCUGUUGGGAUGCAUCUUAUAUAUUAAUUCCCUGGCGUGAGUAAAACUGUGAGUCCACGACACGGAAAUCACGGGUCACUUUCUUAUGACGUGGCUGUACACUAAAAUUUAACUAAAAAGAUUAGGGAUGUACUUCAUAGAAAUCGCACAUAAGGUGUAAAUAUAUAACCCGCUGCUAAUAACGAUAUAAAUAUAUAUAUACCCUUAUGCCAAAAAACUCUAUGUUAGCAUAUAUAUAUAUAGGUAUCGCUACAUAUGAAACGGUAUUAGAUAUUCACAAAGCAUACGGACUGUUAAAUGAAGUUCCUAGCAUAAAACGGAAAAUGUGUUUACGAAAAAGAUGGCUGUUCUUUUUGAGUAUUCUCUACUCUUUCAUUUAAAAUAAAUCUUUAAAAAAACAUUUGAAGAAGAGCAUGGUUUUAUAAAUUAAUCAUAGCAAGGUUCUGUAAGGUUUUUUCAUGUUUUAUGUUCAGUUUUGAUUAUAUUAUUGUUGCCAGACAUGUUUUAUAGCUAGCAUCAUAAAAAGCCAACCACCACCAACAACUAGCUAGCUAGCUAGGAAUAUAUAUAUAUAUAUAUGUAGCCAUGUUCUUUAUACCUAGCUAAGUCUCCAGUUUAUAUUUAAGUGGCUAGCUAUUAGCUGCUGUAGCUAGCUAAUGCUAGCUUUAAACUAAAGAUUCCCAGUAUAUAUAUUCCCACAAAACCCAUCAAACGUUAUUAACCCUGAAAAUUUUAAACAUUUUCCUGGUUUUUUUUUGGUUUGCGAAGUUCUUUUCCUCCAAAUAUUCUGAAAAUAAAGUUCAGAAAUUACUUAUUUUUAAAAUGUAAAUUUAAUUUGUUUCAAAUUGUGGUUUUGACAUUUUCAUGUAAGAAUUUGUGGGCAAAAACCUUAAUCAGCAUGCUAAAAGAACUGAAUUUAGAAUUACUAAACACAACCAUUUUCUUACAUUUAGUGUAAACUUUUGUGCAUAUGGCUUAUAUUUAAUACACCAAAAAGCUACUUUGUUGAUUUCAAUUUUAUACUCUUUGUAAGCUAUUUUUUUCUUCUUUUUGACAUUUUGAAUUAACUUAUUGUUGUAGAAGGCAUAUAAUAUACAUGCAUAUAAAAAAAUUGAAUUUUGCAAAUUUCUGUUUUACCACUCAAUUUUUACAUUUUAUAAGUUAUUUGGAACAGAAUGGUAUGAAAUAGACCAAAAUACCUGAUCUUAGUUGUUUUUAAUUUACAGGCUGUGUCUGUGAAACUUUAAGGGGAACAUUUGGUGGAAGACAAUGGCAUGACAUAUACUGAUAGAACUGAUUUUUGUUGUGUUAGAUGUUAUAUCUGAACCUUUUUGACAUUUUAUGUUAAUUUUGCGAGGAAGGACCAUAUAUAUAUAUACACAGAAGAAGAAUUCAAUUUUUCACCUUGCAAGCUUUGUUUUUCUAUAUUUUGUAUAAAUUCUUACUGGGGAGGACUCCGUGCAAUAUAUCGAAAUGACUGAUCCUUCUCGAUUUAAAUUUGAUGUGUUCUAAAUCGUAUAUAGUUUUGGAAAUUUUGUGUAAGAUUUAAUGGGUAAGGGCUAGAUGCAAUAUGUCAAAAAAACUUUUUUUGUUGAAUCAGAAGCACUCCCUACAACCAUUCUUUUUUUUACAGUUUGUGAAGCUUUUGUGAGGAAAGAGUGUAUGCAAUAUUAUCGAAAUAACUGAUUUUUGUUGCAAACUGUUUUUCUUUGGCAUUUUGGAUUAAAAUAUUGUUUUAGAGUAUAUGUACCGAAAUAAUUAAAUUUUGCAAACUUUGAUUUUGUUGUUACCUCUCAUUUUUUACAUUUUGAUUAAACUUUUGUGGGAGACCGUCGGUAUGCGAAGGACCAAAAUAAGAGAUUUUAGUAUUAUUUAGAAUUUGUAUUUUGUGUUGCAAAAUUGGUGCAAAAAUUGACAUAAAAUGAACUUAUAUACAGAUUGAUUGCUGUUGUUUAACAUGACUCAUUAUGACUUAUAUAUAUAUUUUAUGAAAAUUUGUGACAGAAUACUAUGUGAGAUUUGAAAUUUUGUUUACUUUAUUGAUGGUAAAACAGCAUGCAAAUUGCUAAAAGGACUUUAUUAAUUUUAGAUUUAAACACCGUUAUUUUGUUGGCAUUUUGUCUAAAGUUUGGUGAGGAAGGACCGUAUGCAAUAUAUCAAAUAAUGUUUUAUUGCAUUAUAAUUUAUCCUUGCAAAUCCCUUUUUAACACCUUAGAUAAAAAUUUCUACUUAGGCAAAAUUUAUUGUUUAUUUUUCACAUUUUGUGUCAACCUUUGGCAGGGUUUGCAAUAAACUAACUGAUUUUAACAUAUACAAUGAGAGAGAUUUGUGUUUGACAUUGAUCAGCUUUUUUGUAUAUAUGUGGCGUUUUGAGUGAUUUAAAUUUUAUGGGUGAGAUGUAUGUUGAAAUGCUUUUAAAAACUUUUUUCCGAAUAAUUUUCGCAUUUGUCAGAUGGUCAGAGCAGUAAUUUUAGUAGAUUUAGAUUUUAAAUGUCACAUAUAUAC